rnacentral:rRNA from 1 species
UGCCUUGAAGAUCGGAGUGCUUGCACUCUGUGAAACAAGAUACAGGCUAGCGGCGGACGGGUGAGUAACACGUGGGUAACCUGCCCAAGAGAUCGGGAUAACACCUGGAAACAGAUGCUAAUACCGGAUAACAACAGAUGAUGCCUAUCAACUGUUUAAAAGAUGGUUCUGCUAUCACUCUUGGAUGGACCUGCGGUGCAUUAGCUAGUUGGUAGGGUAACGGCCUACCAAGGCGAUGAUGCAUAGCCGAGUUGAGAGACUGAUCGGCCACAUUGGGACUGAGACACGGCCCAAACUCCUGCGGGAGGCAGCAGUAGGGAAUCUUCCACAAUGGACGCAAGUCUGAUGGAGCAACGCCGCGUGAGUGAAGAAGGGUUUCGGCUCGUAAAGCUCUGUUGUUGGUGAAGAAGGACAGGGGUAGUAACUGACCUUUGUUUGACGGUAAU